CUUCCAUAAAACAGAAGCCACUCAGACUGCGUUCCUUCCCUCUUGCUUCCCACAAGGAGAAAGCAAGAACGAUCAUCAAUGGCAAGUGGCAGUUCACCAAAGCAACACCAAGAGCUGGCUUCACACUCAGGAAGGAAUACUACGCCUCCUCCUCGUGGUUUCUGGUACUCUACACAAUCAGAGAAACUUCUCUGGUAACAUACUAUAGAAAUGAUCCCUGAAAGUAUAGCCUUUCAUUACAGAAGGCUGUAUUCUGCCAUUAUAGUGUAUCAGCCACCUGAGAACACCAUCAGGGCAGUUCAGAGCAGACUCAGAUUAUAAAGCUGUGCUGCUUGGAUUCUAUGAUCUUUAUAAAAUAAGUAAUAAUUCUGCACAGUGCAAUUAAGAAAGGUCUACUGAGUUGUUUUAAUGUUCAGUAAUGGUCUGUUAGCUGCUCUGCACACAUACUGAAAAGAGAUAACUGCCACGUAUUAAGGGAAAUACCUGCAAGUGUCAGGAAAUGGGAGGAAAAGCCCAUUUGUAACUCAAUCAACAGUCUACUGUAGGAGCCAAAAGUCCAAGAAGAUGGUAAACACAAUGGAACUGUGAGGGGGUGCAAGGAUGGAAUAGAGAACCACCACUAGCACUGAGAUGACCUCACAUGCUGUCCCCUCCAAGAGACUCAGGAUCUGAGCAGAAACAAUCAUGCCGAGGUGUAAUGUUGAAAACAGGAACACCAGUCCUAUUAGUUCUCAAAGGCCACAGCAUGGUGACUAGUGAAUGAAGCUACCUAGGUCUUUGAUGAUGUGGUUCUCAUGUAGUGUUCUACCCUUGGAUUUGUUUUACACAAAUAUUUUACUAAUGAUUUGAAUAGAGGUAAAAGAAGUCUAUGCAUCUAAUCAUGAUUCUUGAAAGUUAUGGAACAAUAUAAACAAAGCUCUGCACUUGGACCCAGAAACAACAGUGUGAACAUCAGUAGCAUGUAUGAACAGAAUGAGGAGUUUGAUAUCAAAUAUGUUCACUGAAUCAACCAUUCAAAAUGACUGCUGGAAAUGUUAAUGUGCUUUUGCUUCCAUUUAUAGAAAGAGAAUCUAGAAUAAGGAAGGUGAUGAUUUCAUCUUGUUUUCAGGUGACCUCACCUGAACUACAGUAGCAGUAGUGAAGAGAUGGGGCACGAUGCGGUGGAGAUGACAGAAGAAAUGCACUGCGGAUGUUCUGCCAGACAAGAGAAGAACAGCUGAGGAUUCACGACUUCAAUUACACGAAGGCCUGGGAGGCUGUUCUCUCAAAGAGGGGUUAGAUAUCUUUUGGUAGCUCCCAGAGGAAGGACUAGGAUAAAUGGGUAAAGGUGUCAUCCACCAUAGGGAAGAACUGUUUUAGAGCUUCUUCUCUAAAGCGGAACAUCCUGCUUCCUGAAGUGGUUCUCAUGCAGAAGCAGGGUACUGGUUAUUUAAAAAUGGAUAAGGAAAGACCAACUCCCAGCAGACAGCCUGAGGAGCCACACUACCCUGCUCCCAACUGAAACUGGUGGAAAGUAUUUAAAAACAAAACCACCAGUCAUUUAAAGAUUCCAGCAAUGGUGUUAAUAUAAAGAAUAGUUUAUUUAGUUAGCUUAUGAGUAAGGCAGCUAGCUAGGGAGGGGCCUAAGUCAGAGUCGGCUAAUCAGUCAUAUUGAUGGGAACUGAAAUGAAGAAUAGACAGUGAACUAGGACUUUGGACCAAGGAUGAACCUCCUUAAACAACAUGGAAUGCAGCUCCUUUCCUACUAAAGAGAAGUACAGCCACUCUCUACUAAGCUCUUGAGUUCUGAAGAACUUCAAAUGCAAAAUAAUCAUUUUUUUCCUCUAAAAUGCCAGUUUCCUUUAAACUGUGUAUGCUGAGGAACUGGGUUGGAGAGUCUGGGUUUCAUUUGCUCAUUUUAAAUCCAAACAGCCACCUGUGAGCUGGCCACUGAACAACUGGGUGGUUCUUGUGCUCAGCUUAUCUAUGUAUAACUAGUUCUGGAUAACAGACCAUGUGGCCACCCACUCAGGACUCUUCCUGGAAACCCAGGAGUUCUUUUUCUUUUCUACCAUAAAACUCUCCUAACCUCCUCCUUGUUUUGCAACUUCAUUCCUUGAUGUUGUGAGACCAGGAACUCAGCAUAUCUGACAUCUCACAGGUUGGGAGUUAUUUUUACCCAUCAAAUUAAGGGCAAAUAGCAAAUGAAAAGAUAAUUAUCCCCAGAACACUAUGAAUUUGUUUAAAACAGUGAGUGUCUGUGAUAUUUGGAUCAAGACUGUCCCUUUCCCACUUCCCAACUUAGUGAGGUGGAGACUCCACACCAGACUCUUGCAGUCAAGAGCAGCAGGCUCUCCCUCCUCCAAGUAGGAGGCCUUUUUCUGAGUAGGAGCAGGACAUCAGCAACUCUCAUCCUGCCUUCAGCUACACAUGUCUGGAUUAAGUUCCAGGACAAGAACACCAGGACAAGAAGUUACUCUGAGGAAACAACUAUGAACGUUUCAGUGGCACAACUGGCCGGAGGAGUCUUUGGCCACAGUGCAGACAUGACUGUGGAAAAGCUACUUGACACCAGGCAGUAUCUCAGAAGGAACCAGGCUUCUGGGAUUAAUCUUUGAGACAAAAUGCUAUCUCUGUUAUCACAGCCAGAAACCUCUUUUCUCCUCAGUCCCAUAAACAACUACAAAUCCUGUGGGAUUUUCUUCAUAUUUCAUGCAUUCAUUCAUUCAUUCUUGGACAACUGAGCAACUGCUUUCUUCUAUACUUACACAUACAAUAACAGUAAGCAAAACUGAUAUGGUUCCUGCUCUCAGGACACACUUGCUCUAAUGAGAGAUG